AUUUAAAUUAAACUGUUAUAAUUUUAUUUCGGGCUAACUUAGCCCAGUAAUUAGCAGAAACUAAAAUUAGAGGAGCCCAGCUCAACCCUGUUACAUCAUUUACAAACUAUUUAAAAUUCAUAAAAAAUUUUCAUUUGUUAAUACAAAAACUUAAAUUCAUGCAGUCCCUGACAUGAUUAAUACUACUACUAGUACAUGCGGAGUUCUAAAUUACAAAAUUAGACAAUAAUAAUACAGUUAAGUAAUUUUCUCCAUAACUUGCGAGGAAAGGAACAGGUUAUUCUGAAAAAGGUCUCCUCUUGUAGCCUGAAAAAAUAGGGGAACAGGAGUGAGCGUUUGACUCAGAGAGUAAAAUACCAAUUUUAAUCAUAAUCUCUAUAACUAUCUAAAGCUAAUGCACCCUGUAGAGUGAAAUACAACAUCAACAAUAAUUUCACAU
rnacentral:misc_RNA from 1 species